CCGCGCGCCUACAAACCCAAACAAACUUUGACAGGACAGCGGGAGGAGUGACGUGUCUCGCGCCACGCCGCACCGUUCAAGCUGACCUUGGUUUUUCCUUACACACCAAUGACACCGGCGUCACACCAGUGUUCUUGCGAGUAUUAGAAGUCACGUCAGCUUCCCAACAGCCAUCAGGUGAACUGAGGUGGUGGACUUCCAGAUGUAUUUUUGAUAAGCAUCAGAGGCUUUUGAAAAACCACUGAAGAAGCAAAGAAGAUAGUACAGUUUUUCCUUCACCACAGCACGUGCAGCAUGGCUCUGUUACCAGACACUCUCUGCCUUUUUGAUGUGGAUGGCACACUCACUCAACCUCGGAAAAAAAUUGAACCUGUAAUGGCAGAAUUUAUGCUGAAGACGAAGGAGAAGGUGCCGUGUGGCCUGGUGGGCGGCUCAGACCUCAACAAGAUAGCAGAGCAGAUGGGUGGCUUGGAGGCACUGAUGAAGUUUGACUAUGUGUUUGCCGAGAAUGGUCUAGUGGCGUACAAAAAUGGUCAAUUUAUGAAGAAGGAGAGCAUCCAAAACCACAUGGGGGAGGAGAAGCUGCAGAAAUUCAUCAACUUUGCAUUGCGGUACAUGUCCUCCCUCACUCUGCCUGUGAAGCGCGGCACCUUCAUUGAGUUCCGUAAUGGCUUGAUCAACGUGUGUCCUGUGGGCCGCAGCUGCUCCCAGGAAGAACGUGACCAGUUUGGGGAAUAUGACAAAGUUCACCACAUCAGGGAGAAGUUUGUGAAAGCUUUGGAGGAAGAGUUUCCUGACUCAGGCUUGGUGUUCUCUAUUGGUGGCCAGAUUAGCUUUGACGUGUUCCCUAAGGGCUGGGACAAGACUUACUGUUUACGUUAUGUGGAAAAUGACUUUAAGAUAAUUCACUUCUUCGGGGACAAGACAGACAAAGGCGGCAAUGAUCAUGAGAUCUACGAGGACACUCGCACAGUGGGGCACAAGGUCACGUCUCCUGAGGACACCAGGGUGCAGAUGCAGGAGCUUCUUGGCAUGGAGUGUUAAUAGCAGCCGGUGUUUAUAAGAAUUAGAGAAUUGAGGUGAUGGUGUUCUGCUGGAUGGUGCAUUCCCUUGUCUCACACUACACUUCAAGGCUCCACUGACACUUCCUUCACUGCCUUUACUCUUGACAGGGCCAUGUUUGGCGUAGAAACAAGUCUCUUCGGCCAAUAACUGAGGGGCGGGGCAUGGCUCCAGCCAGCACAAUGCGAUCCCCACCACUACGAUGUGAUGCUGUGGAAAAGAACCAACAAUAUGUACAGUAAUUGCCAGUUGCUGGGUAAUUUUACUGACUUUUAUCUUGAAUUUAAUGCAAACACCAAUUUAAAAUUAUGCAGAUCUUUAUAACAUCCCAAGCAUACACUAUUUAUAAAUGUGUCUAUCAAAUGACCACUGUAAGUAAUCCCUGUAAAAUGCUCUUUAGUGAAUAAAGAUUUGAGGGAAAAAAAAAUAGAACAAAGUAAUUCCAGAAUGAAAGGAUUAACCAAG
rnacentral:misc_RNA from 1 species